rnacentral:rRNA from 1 species
AGAGUUUGAUCCUGGCUCAGGAUGAACGCUGGCGGCGUGCUUAACACAUGCAAGUCGAACGGAGUUAUUUGAAAGCUUGCUUUUGAAUAACUUAGUGGCGGACGGGUGAGUAACGCGUGGGUGACCUGCCUUAUACUGGGGGAUAACACUUAGAAAUAGGUGCUAAUACCGCAUAAGCGCACAGUUCUGCAUGGAACAGUGUGAAAAACUCCGGUGGUAUAAGAUGGACCCGCGUGACAUUAGCCAGAUGGUGAGGUAACGGCUCACCAUAGCAAUGAUGUCUAGGGGUUUUGAGAGGAAGGCCCCCCACACUGGGACUGAGACACGGCCCAGACUCCUACGGGAGGCAGCAGUGAGGAAUAUUGGACAAUGGGGGAAACCCUGAUGCAGCAACGCCGCGUGAGUGAUGACGGCCUUCGGGUUGUAAAGCUCUGUCUUCAGGGACGAUAAUGACGGUACCUGAGGAGGAAGCCACGGCUAACUACGUGCCAGCAGCCGCGGUAAUACGUAGGAUCCGAGCGUUAUCCGGAAUUAUUGGGUUUAAAGGGUGCGUAGGCGGCCAUUUAAGUCAGCGGUGAAAUUUUGCAGCUUAACUGUAACAGUGCCGUUGAUACUGUUUGGCUAGGAUUUGGUUGUAGUGUGCGGAAUGUGUGGUGUAGCGGUGAAAUGCUUAGAUAUCACACAGAACACCGAUUGCGAAGGCAGCACACUAGGUCAUUAUUGACGCUGAGGCACGAAAGUGUGGGGAUCAAACAGGAUUAGAUACCCUGGUAGUCCACACUGUAAACGAUGAUAACUCGCCUUGGGCGAUACACAGUCGGUGGGCAAGCGAAAGCACUUAGUUAUCCCCCCGGGGAGUACGACCGCAAAGAUGAAACUCAAAGGAAUUGACGGGGGGCCGCACAAGCGGAGGAACAUGUGGUUUAAUUCGAUGAUACGCGAGGAACCUUACCCGGGCUCGAACGGUGCAUGAAUAUACGAGAGAUUGUAUAGUCCUUCGGGACAUGUAUCGAGGUGCUGCAUGGUUGUCGUCAGCUCGUGCCGUGAGGUGUCGGCUUAAGUGCCAUAACGAGCGCAACCCUUGUCAUUAGUUGCCAUCAGGUCAAGCUGGGGACUUUAAUGAGACUGCCACCGUAAGGUGUGAGGAAGGGGGGGAUGACGUCAAAUCAGCACGGCCCUUAUGUCCGGGGCGACACACGUGUUACAAUGGGAGGUACAGAGGGCAGCUAUCCGGUGACGGAAUGCUAAUCUCCAAAACCUUUCUCAGUUCGGAUUGGAGUCUGCAACUCGACUCCAUGAAGGUGGAUUCGCUAGUAAUCGCGCAUCAGCCAUGGCGCGGUGAAUACGUUCCCGGGCCUUGCACACACCGCCCGUCAAG